rnacentral:rRNA from 3 species
AAACCAACCGGGAUUGCCUCAGUAACGGCGAGUGAAGCGGCAAGAGCUCAAAUUUGAAAUCUGGCCCCUCCGGGGUCCGAGUUGUAAUUUGCAGAGGAUGCUUCGGGUGCGGCCCCUGUCUAAGUGCCCUGGAACGGGCCGUCAGAGAGGGUGAGAAUCCCGUCUUGGGCAGGGUGCCCGUGCCCGUGUGAAGCUCCUUCGACGAGUCGAGUUGUUUGGGAAUGCAGCUCAAAAUGGGUGGUAAAUUUCAUCUAAAGCUAAAUACCGGCCGGAGACCGAUAGCGCACAAGUAGAGUGAUCGAAAGAUGAAAAGCACUUUGAAAAGAGAGUUAAACAGCACGUGAAAUUGUUGAAAGGGAAGCGCUUGCAACCAGACUCGGCCUCGGGGUUCAGCCAGCAUUCGUGCUGGUGUACUUCCCCGGGGCCGGGCCAGCGUCGGUUUGGGCGGCCGGUCAAAGGCCCCAGGAAUGUAUCGUCCUCCGGGACGUCUUAUAGCCUGGGGUGCAAUGCGGCCAGCCUGGACCGAGGAACGCGCUUCGGCACGGACGCUGGCGUAAUGGUCGCAAACGAC